rnacentral:rRNA from 1 species
CGGAGGUUACUGCUAUCGAGGUUCGACUAAGCCAUGCGAGUCGAAUGUAGCAAUACAUGGCGAACUGCUCAGUAACACGUGGACAACCUGCCCUUAGGUUGGGUAUAAACCCGGGAAACUGGGUAUAAUACCCGAUAGGUCUCGAUUGCUGGAAUGCAUCGAGAUUUAAAGCUCCGGCGCCUAAGGAUGGGUCUGCGGCCUAUCAGGUAGUAGUGGGUGUAGCGUACCUACUAGCCUACGACGGGUACGGGUUGUGAGAGCAAGAGCCCGGAGAUGGAUUCUGAGACACGAAUCCAGGCCCUACGGGGUGCAGCAGGCGCGAAAACUUUACAAUGCUGGCAACAGCGAUAAGGGAACCUCGAGUGCCAGGUUACAAAUCUGGCCGUCGAGAUGCCUAAAAAGCAUUUCAUAGCAAGGGCCGGGCAAGACCGGUGCCAGCCGCCGCGGUAACACCGGCGGCUCGAGUGGUAACCGUUAUUAUUGGGUCUAAAGGGUCUGUAGCCGGCCGGAUAAGUCUCUUGAGAAAUCUGGCAGCUUAACUGUCAGGCUUUCAGGAGAUACUGUCUGGCUCGAGGCCAGGAGAGGUGAGAGGUACUUCAGGGGUAGGGGUGAAAUCUUGUAAUCCUUGAAGGACCACCAGUGGCGAAGGCGUCUCACCAGAACGGACCUGACGGCAAGGGACGAAAGCUAGGGGCACGAACCGGAUUAGAUACCCGGGUAGUCCUAGCCGUAAACGAUACUCGCUAGGUGUCGGCCACGGUGCGACCGUUGUCGGUGCCGUAGGGAAGCCGUGAAGCGAGCCACCUGGGAAGUACGGCCGCAAGGCUGAAACUUAAAGGAAUUGGCGGGGGAGCACCACAACGGGUGGAGCUUGCGGUUUAAUUGGAUUCAACGCCGGG